UCUUCAGAGACAUGGGUGGUCAUGCCAAUUCUGGACGAGCCUCUAAAUGAAAGAAUCCCAGAGGAGACCCUCUCUCAGGCCUCAGGACAAUGCCAGACACCCAAGAACUCAUGAUAGACU
rnacentral:pre_miRNA from 7 species